rnacentral:snRNA from 1 species
GUUUUGUAUUAUUAGAAC